CCCAGCUAGUCAUGCCAGAGCAUUUUUUCAAUGUGCUCCCCAACGAGAAGGCAACGAUACAUUCGUAUGUAAAUCCAUAUCAACUUUCGAUGCCAUUGACUGCGCCUACCAUCGGGUGACCACAGGUAACGGGGAAUCGGGGUUCAAUUCCGUACAGGGACCCUGACAAAUGGCUACCACAUGCAAGGAAGGCAGCAGGUGUGCAAAUGACCCACUCCCGAUGCGGAAAGGUAGUGACG